UACGGAGGAUGCAAGCGUUAUCCGGAUUCAUUGGGUUUAAAGGGUGCGUAGGCGGGCUAUUAAGUCAGUGGUGAAAUCCUGCAGCUUAACUGCAGAACUGCCGUUGAUACUGAUAGUCUUGAGUUUGGUUAAGGUAGGCGGAAUGUGUAAUGUAGCGGUGAAAUGCUUAGAUAUUACACAGAACACCAAUUGCGUAGGCAGCUUACUGAGCCGACACUGACGCUGAGGCACGAAAGCGUGGGGAUCAAACAGGAUUAGAUACCCUGGUAGUCCACGCCGUAAACGAUGAUUACUCGCUGUUGGCGAUACACUGUCAGCGGCUAAGCAAAAGCAAUAAGUAAUCCACCUGGGGAGUACGGCCGCAAGGUUGAAACUCAAAGGAAUUGACGGGGGCCCGCACAAGCGGAGGAACAUGUGGUUUAAUUCGAUGAUACGCGAGGAACCUUACCUGGGCUUAAAUGUAGAGUGCAUUUUCUAGAGAUAGAAAUUCCCUUCGGGGCUUUCUGCAAGGUGCUGCAUGGUU
rnacentral:rRNA from 1 species